rnacentral:sRNA from 2 species
CAACUUAUGAUACAAUUAAAAAAUAGAAAAGUUAAGGCGGUGGCUAUCUUUGAGAGGUGGUGAUGCUUAUGAAAGUAAACAUCAAAAUCUAUGGAAAGGAGAUGCCUAUUUGUCAGUUUAUCAAGCGUUAAGCUUAAUGAUUGCUUUUGCAAUUCUAGUCUUAAAGCUUAAUGACAAGAC